rnacentral:rRNA from 1 species
CUUACCAUGCAGUCGACGGCAGCGCGGGGGUAACCCUGGCGGCGAGUGGCGAACGGGUGAGUAAUACAUCGGAACGUGUCCUGGAGUGGGGGAUAGCCCGGCGAAAGCCGGAUUAAUACCGCAUACGAUCCACGGAUGAAAGCGGGGGACCGAAAGGCCUCGCGCUCAAGGAGCGGCCGAUGGCGGAUUAGCUAGUUGGUGGGGUAAAGGCCCACCAAGGCGACGAUCCGUAGCUGGUCUGAGAGGACGACCAGCCACACUGGGACUGAGACACGGCCCAGACUCCUACGGGAGGCAGCAGUGGGGAAUUUUGGACAAUGGGCGAAAGCCUGAUCCAGCAAUGCCGCGUGUGUGAAGAAGGCCUUCGGGUUGUAAAGCACUUUUGUCCGGAAAGAAAACUUCGCCUCUAAUACAGGUGGAGGAUGACGGUACCGGAAGAAUAAGCACCGGCUAACUACGUGCCAGCAGCCGCGGUAAUACGUAGGGUGCAAGCGUUAAUCGGAAUUACUGGGCGUAAAGCGUGCGCAGGCGGUGAUGUAAGACCGAUGUGAAAUCCCCGGGCUUAACCUGGGAACUGCAUUGGUGACUGCAUUGCUAGAGUAUGGCAGAGGGGGGUGGAAUUCCACGUGUAGCAGUGAAAUGCGUAGAGAUGUGGAGGAACACCGAUGGCGAAGGCAGCCCCCUGGGCCAAUACUGACGCUCAUGCACGAAAGCGUGGGGAGCAAACAGGAUUAGAUACCCUGGUAGUCCACGCCCUAAACGAUGUCAACUGGUUGUUGGGGAUUCAUUUCCUUAGUAACGAAGCUAACGCGUGAAGUUGACCGCCUGGGGAGUACGGUCGCAAGAUUAAAC